GUCAUGAUAAUUGUUCGGAUCGAAUGGGCCAGUGUGUUGUGCGGGUCGCGCUUCACCUUGAGCCAUCGAUGUUUCAUUCAAAUUUCUGAUCUAUCAAUUUAGGAAGGUUGGGUAGUGGCCAACCUUGAUUUUGACGGGCAACGGGGAAUCAGGGUUCGAUACCGGAGAGGGGGCCAGAGAGAUGGCCACCACAUCUACGGAUGGCAGCAGGCGCGCAACUUACCCAAAUCUCGACUCGAGGAGGUAGCGACAAGAAAUAUCGGCGCGGGGCACUAUAUGUGUCUUGUAAAGCUGAAAUGAGGACAGUUUAAAACUCUUACCGAUAAGCAAUUAGAGGGCAAGUCUGGUGCCAGCAGCCGCGGUAAUACCAGCUCUAAUAGUGUAUGUUAAAGUUGUUGCAGUUAAAACGCUCGUAGUUGGAUGUUCGGGCGGAAUCGGUGGGUCAGGGGCACUUUGUGUUCAGGGCCGCCGAGGAAGCUUGAGGGCGAUGCUGGACUAGGGGUCGCCGUCUAUUGUGUUGCGUACUCGCCGCUUUGGCCUCGUGGAGGACGAAGAGGAGCGAUGCGUAAUACGAGGGCGGUUGCGCUCCGAUGUCUGGUGACGUUCGAUUCUUUCCUCUGUGGUAUUCAGUUAUUGCGGGGGACGUUUACUUUGAGCAAAGAUUGGUGUACAAGGCAGGCCAUAGGCUUGAGAUAUCUAGCAUGGGAUAAUGGAAUAAGACUUUGGUACUUUUUCGUUGGUUAUAGAGCCGAAGUAAUGGUUAAUAGGGGCAGGUCGGGGGCGUUGAUAUUCAGUAGGGAGAGGUGAAAUUCAGUGAUCUACUGAGGAUCAACAGAAGCGAAAGCGUUCGCCAAGGAUGUUUUCAUUAAUCAAGAACGAAAGUUAGGGGAUCGAAGACGAUUAGGCACCGUCGUAGUCCUAACCAUAAACGAUCUCGACUAGGGAUUGGGGGAGUCAGCACGUAUGUGCGGAACUUCCUCAGGACCUACUGAGAAAUCAUUAAGUGUUUGGAGUCUGGGGGGAAGUAUAGUCGCAAGGCAGAAACUUAAAGGAAUUGACGGAAGAGCACCACAAGAAGUGGAUUCUGUGGCUCAAUUUGACCCAACGCGGGGAAACUUACCAGGACCGGACCAAGGGAGGAUUGACAGAUUAAUGGCUCUUUCAUGAUUCUUGGAUUGGUGGUGCAUGGCCGUUCUUAGUUGGUGAAGUGAUUUGUCUGUGUUAAUUCCGUUAACGAGCGAGAACCCAACCUCUUACUAGCGACUUG
rnacentral:rRNA from 1 species